rnacentral:misc_RNA from 1 species
GAUGAAGAACGUAGCGAAAUGCGAUACUUGGUGUGAAUUGCAGAAUCCCGUGAACCAUCGAGUCUUUGAACGCAAGUUGCGCCCGAAGCCAUUAGGCCCAGGGCACGCCUGCCUGGGCGUCACACGUCGUUGCCCCCCCAUCUACUCCUUCGGGAUUGCGGGGGGCGGAUGAUGGCCUCCCGUGCGCCUCGUCGCGCGGUUGGCCUAAAUGCCAAGUCCUCGGCGACGCACGCCACGACAAUCGGUGGUUGCGAAACCUCGGUUGCCUGUCGUGUGCGGUCGUCGCGCAUCGAGGGCUCGAAAAAAUUGCCGGGCUUCGGCUCGACUUUCAACGCGACCCCAGGUCAGGCGGGGUUACCCGCUGAAUUUAAGCAUAUCAAUAAGCGGAGGA